AACGAACGCUGGCGGCAUGCCUAACACAUGCAAGUCGAACGAGACCUUCGGGUCUAGUGGCGCACGGGUGCGUAACGCGUGGGGACCUGCCCUUAGGUUCGGAAUAACUCCCCGAAAGGGGUGCUAAUACCGGAAUAUGUCUUCGGACCAAAGAUUUAUCGCCUUUGGAUGGGCCCGCGUUGGAUUAGCUAGUUGGUAGGGUAAAAGCCUACCAAGGCGACGAUCCAUAGCUGGUCUGAGAGGAUGAUCAGCCACACUGGGACUGAGACACGGCCCAGACUCCUACGGGAGGCAGCAGUGGGGAAUAUUGGACAAUGGGCGAAAGCCUGAUCCAGCAAUGCCGCGUGAGUGAUGAAGGCCUUAGGGUUGUAAAGCUCUUUUACCCGGGAUGAUAAUGACAGUACCGGGAGAAUAAGCUCCGGCUAACUCCGUG
rnacentral:rRNA from 1 species